rnacentral:lncRNA from 1 species
CAGGAAUUUGGGGGGUGAGGAGUAAUGUCAGUUUAAAGACAAGAAAGUAAUAAAUGUUUUUCUGCUUCUACAUCUCUUGAUAACAGCAAGUCUUAAAUAAAAUAACCCUUGGCUGGGAAAUAGAGGAAAAUGUUUUGCAAGGUGAACUGACUUUUUCUGGUUGCCAUUCAGGAUUCGUUUGACUGACUUUUAUUUUCAGUUCCUAUUUUUUUAACAAAAAAUCAUGGAAUAUAUUCUGCUUGCCAGUUUUGAUAGAACAAUUACAAUAAAAUUUUCCUUAACACCUAAAAUCACAGAUUCUGCUCAGACAUAUGCAGAACUUGUUAAGCAGAGCUUUCAGAGCUUGCAUCGCAGACACAAAGCUUUUACAAAAACUUACAAGAGACACCAGAAGGAAGUGAGAAUUUUUGACCAACAGUGGAAAGAGAACCAAGAAAUUUUCAGGCAGGAAAUGCAAGAAGAAGUCAAGAGAAGACAGGCUCCAAAGCAGAAAGAGUUGAUUCCUUCUUGGGCAGAUGAACUGAGCAGUUCAGAAAAGAUUUCAUGCCAGUCCCCAAAAGUGCAUUUAACAGAAUCUACUGAAUAACAAAUAAGACUGUAUAAGACUGAAGUAACUGUGUCUUUUUUGGUACUGAAUAAGUGCUUGAAAUAAGCAAAAUAUUAUUCCUGUCUAUUUCAUGUAUAAAUAUUUGAAGGAAAUUAACUUAGAGGUUCAAAUACAUUAGUUGCUAGAAAAAAUCAUGUACUAGUGUAUUAAAGUGGUAUGGCAAAAUAUCAAAAAUACUGGUUGGUGUAAGCUUUCCUUCAUUGGCCAUUUCUGCACUCACCUUCUUUGGAACAGUCUAACUAUUCCGGUCAACACUGUACUAGAACAAGAAGGGAGAUGCUGUCUGAAUUUGGAGGUGCCAUAGCUAUUUUGUUCCAGGUAAUGCUCAACCCAGCCAGGGAUUGGCCCAGGCCCUGUCACUUGUACAUCAUGUUUGGAUUACACGUGCAGAGCUGAAUGGGGCUGUCUCCACAGUCUUGCCAAUGUCCUGCUGCUGUCUUCAAAGGCAGCAAGCCCACCUCAGUGCC